GACGAACGCUGGCGGCGUGCCUAAUACAUGCAAGUCGAACGAACUGUGGAAAGCUUGCUUUUCAGAGUUAGUGGCGAACGGGUGAGUAACACGUAAGUAACCUAGCUAUUAGACGAGGAUAACUACUGGAAACGGUAGCUAAGACUGGAUAUGAUAGAAAUAUUUAAAGGAUGCUAAGGCAUCGCUAAUAGAGGGGCUUGCGGCGCAUUAGCUAGUUGGUAGGGUAAAAGCCAACCAAGGCGAUGAUGCGUAGCCGACCUGAGAGGGUGACCGGCCACACUGGGACUGAGACACGGCCCAGACUCCUACGGGAGGG
rnacentral:rRNA from 1 species